rnacentral:tRNA from 1 species
GGCCGGUUGGCCCAAUGGUAAGGCGUCUGACUACGAUACCGUCGUCAAUCAGGAGAUUCUGGGUUCGAGCCCCAGGCUGGUCA